UGUAGGAGCGAGCUUGCUCGCGAUGACGGGCUGUCAUUCAACAUUUUUUUUGAAUGUUACGGCCUCAUCGCGAGCAAGCUCGCUCCCACA
rnacentral:misc_RNA from 1 species